UAGCUUUGUCCUAAGUCAAACUCCUUAAAGUUUGACCAAGUUAAAAAUCUACCAACAUCUACACUCUAAAUUAGUUUUAUUAAAUCCGUCAUGGUAUAUAACUUCAUAGUAUGCUUAUUUGAUAUUGUAGAUGUUAGUAUAUUUUUCUAUAAACUUGGUCAAACUUUUAGAAGUUUGACUUAGAACAAAGCUAG
rfam:Brachypodium distachyon strain Bd21 chromosome 3, whole genome shotgun sequence.